UGCGUAGGUGGGUUGGUAAGUCCGUGGUGAAAUCCCCAAGCUUAACUUGGGAACUGCCGUGGAUACUAUCAAUCUUGAAUAUCGUUGAGGUAAGCGGAAUAUGUCAUGUAGCGGUGAAAUGCUUAGAUAUGACAUAGAACACCGAUAGCGGAGGCAGCUUACUAAGCGAUCAUUGACACUGAGGCACGAAAGCGUGGGGAGCAAACAGGAUUAGAUACCCUGGUAGUCCACGCCCUAAACGAUGAUUACUCGACAUACGCGAUACACAGUGUGUGUCUGAGCGAAAGCAUUAAGUAAUCCACCUGGGAAGUACGAUCGCAAGAUUGAA
rnacentral:rRNA from 1 species